AGACAGCCACUAAUUGGUCAACACUCACCUGAGAGCAUUUCAGGAGUCAAGAUGGCUGGAGCCAGUAAAUGAAUUUAUCGUUCCUGAGUUAUUGUGCAAAGUCUCAGAAAAGACAGUUCCAGACUGGAUUACAAAGCUUCUGGAAGACCCAGGGGAAAACCUCUCUGGAAAGGGUCAGAUUCUAGUUACCAUUCUAGUUAUCGUGACAGUGUAAUUCCAUGAUCUAUUAAGAAGCUUCUGGAGGAUCUACAAUUGCAUGGAAGACCUCGUUGAAACAGCACAUUGCUCUGCUUCUAAACAAA